GGCUGGGAGACUCAGAGGAGGGAUGCUGCUUCGUAUGUCACAGAAAUUAUGAAUGGGCAGCAAAGAGUGCUUCAAGAAAGGCAAGAAUUCACCAGCAGAAUGAGGAGUGCAAACCUGUGAGCUUCAUUGCUUCCUCUUGGUGGAGAGACACAGAGCAAAAAAAAGAUAUCAUUGUUCCAGAGGGUAGAAAGUUGUGUGAAUAUUCCAAAGCACCGUCAAUCUCUGAAGUGACUUUUCAGCUAUGGACCCAAAGUGCCAAUCUUCCUCUCCUCAGAAACAGACUGUGAAAAACAGGUCCAAAUCCACUGAGGAGAUCCAACAAGCUAAAAAGGCCUUUCACACUCCCCAGAAAUCCCUGCCAGGGAAGACAGAACUAGAGAAACUUAAGGAGGCCUCUGAUGUCUCAGAGACAACAUCCUCACCUGAAGUGUUAAAAUGAGUGGGAGAUCAAAGCUGAAUGGCUAGUUGGCUAGUUUUGAGUCAUCCCAAAAAAAAGCAUUUCUGUCAGUAUCCACUCAAACACACAGCAACAGGGAGCCAAAACUGUGCAGUGGUUUGGCCUUGACUUUCCCAUUGUCAUCACCAUGCUUCAGAUAUAAAGCUGACGUAAUGUCAAUGUAAUGUCAGUCCACUGUACGUAAAGAACUGAAUGUGCAUUAACAAAAAAGCGACCUUGAAGUUCUCUUUCUCUGAAUUCAUUCUUCUUUCUUUAUUUGGUAAUCAGGGUAUAUCUUAAUACUACUAUAUAGAUCUGGAAGCACUUAUUGUAGACUGAAUGGUCUCUGUACAUUUUUCAUUUUAUAUAGUGUCAUGCUUCAAGUUAACUAGUAACUCUGUAAUGUGUGUGUAAAAAUAAAUCUAAUUAAAAAUAAUAAAAAAAAACUACUGUUUACCUCAGCAUAAUGUGAAAGACGUGGAAAUCACUCAAUUCUACUUCACCAGGAGCAUACUUUUAAAAUUUAGCCUGGGGGAAAUCAGGCAGGUUAGAGUCUCUUCUUGGUGAAUCUUACAUUCUGCACUUUUUUUUCUCUGACAGUUCUUCAUUUGAAAUUGCUAUCCUGUGUGAAAUGGUUUAAGUUUUACUCAGCAUCUGUUAAACCAGGAGAAUUGAAAUAGUUGUCAGGGAAUUCUAAUAAAAUAAAUUAAUUGGGAAUAAGAAAGUCAAAGGUAGAAGACUACUAAAAAAAGAUCCUUGUUUAAGGUAGCUUUCAAGCACCAAAUACCACAACCAAGCAAGUAUGACAGCCUGAUGGCCUCUUUCUCAUUUGUAACAGUUUCUUGUUCUUAAUUUUCUUAGAUGGUCAGAAUAUCUGUUGCUUAGAGUAUGUCAUUAAAUACUUUUAGAAUAUGUAUGUAUAUCCACAUACAGCUUGUGUGUAGCAGGCACGCUUUAGAACAUCAAUAUAUUUAGUUAAUUUUAAGGCCAGAGUAAUAGCUAUGCUAAUAUUGAAAUUAAAAAAAAAAAUUACUAAAAAUGAACAAAAAGUAAAUUACUUUCUGGAGCACAGAAUCCUCCCUCUGGUAUUGAUUUUUACUCUUUCUUAUUACUAAGUCUUACAUGUAUUAAUUUUUUCAAUCUCAGUAGGAGUUAUUACCUUUUUUAUCAGUAAUAUCAGAAUACAAAUAGCAUUCUUGUCCCAAAUUGGAACAUAUUCAGGAAUUGCAGUUUUAGAAACACCAGGGAAUGCUCUGUUCUGUAUAAUUUAAAUUGACCAGGAAUGCGACAUAUUACAAUUCAAUAAUUAGUUUAAAUAGUUUAGAAUUUAAUGACCUCGGUAUUUUUCUUUCUAUGUAUAACUUAUAUACUGUACCAUAAUUGUGACCUAUUCAUUUUAUCGGUCAAAUGCCAGAUAAAUACUUGAUCUAAAUUCUUCAAUAAACAUUUCUCUUUGACUAUCCCUAGCCAGUUUUCUGCUUCAAACAUACUAAUUUCAUCUUCCAUUUUAUGGAUAUUUAUUUCUGGGAAUGUGUUCUGUGAUAGUUUUGUUUUUCUUAUUUGAAGGUAAAGUACAUUUAUCACAAAAUGGACAUACACCUGAAUGAGCAUUCAUACAGUAUAUUUGAAUACAAAUUAUAGUACAAAAAUGUAAGUAUUGCUAUGGUUCUAGAAACAUUAUUGUUUAAACAAGGAAUGGUUGAUUCAGUAUAUUUUGUUGCUGAUAUACUGUAUAGUCACAAACAUAAUUAUUUUAAUGGAUUAAAGAUUUACCUCUA